AUUGAACGCUGGCGGCAGGCUUAACACAUGCAAGUCGAACGAGUGGCGGACGGGUGAGUAAUGCUUGGGAAUCUGGCUUAUGGAGGGGGAUAACGACGGGAAACUGUCGCUAAUACCGCGUAUCAUAGGAUGAGCCCAAGUGGGAUUAGGUAGUUGGUGGGGUCAAGGCCUACCAAGCUGACGAUCUCUAGCUGGUCUGAGAGGAUGACCAGCCAACCGGGGCAGGGUACCCGGCCCGCACCCCGUGGGGGGGCAGGAGUGGGGAAUAUUGGGCAAGGGGGCAACCGGACGCAGCCAUGCGGCGUGAAUGAAGAGGGCUUUCGGGUUUUAAAGUUCGUUCGGUAUUGAGGCGUGAAAUACAGAAUAAGCAACGGCUAACUCCGUGCCAGCGGCCGCGGGAAUAC
rnacentral:rRNA from 1 species